rnacentral:rRNA from 1 species
CUCCAGACUCCUACGGGAGGCAGCAGUGAGGAAUAUUGGUCAAUGGGCGAGAGCCUGAACCAGCCAAGUCGCGUGAAGGAUGACGGCCCUACGGGUUGUAAACUUCUUUUGUCAGGGAGCAAUUGAGUCCACGUGUGGUCUUAGCGAGAGUACCUGAAGAAAAAGCAUCGGCUAACUCCGUGCCAGCAGCCGCGGUAAUACGGAGGAUGCGAGCGUUAUCCGGAUUUAUUGGGUUUAAAGGGUGCGUAGGCGGAUUUUUAAGUCAGCGGUAAAAUGUCCGGGCUCAACCCGGGCCGGCCGUUGAAACUGGGGAUCUUGAGUGGGCGAGAAGUAUGCGGAAUGCGUGGUGUAGCGGUGAAAUGCAUAGAUAUCACGCAGAACUCCGAUUGCGAAGGCAGCAUACCGGCGCCCGACUGACGCUGAGGCACGAAAGCGUGGGGAUCGAACAGGAUUAGAUACCCCAGUAA